GAUGAAGAACGCAGCGAAAUGCGAUACUUGGUGUGAAUUGCAGAAUCCCGUGGACCAUCGAGUCUUUGAACGCAAGUUGCGCCCGAAGCCAUUAGGCCGAGGGCACGCCUGCCUGGGCGUCACACGUCGUUGCCCCCCCAUCUACUCCUUCGGGAUUGCGGGGGGCGGAUGAUGGCCUCCCGUGCGCCUCGUCGCGCGGUUGGCAUAAAUGCCAAGUCCUCGGCGACGCACGCCACGACAAUCGGUGGUUGCGAAACCUCGGUUGCCCGUCGUGUGCGGUCGUCGCGCAUCGAGGGCUCGAAAAAAUUGCCGGGCUCCGGCUCGGCUUUCAACGCGACCCCAGGUCAGGCGGGGUUACCCGCUGAAUUUAAGCAUAUCAAUAAGCGGAGGA
rnacentral:misc_RNA from 1 species